AAUGCUCAGAAGGGGUGGCCUUACAUUCAACGACUAUUGGUGGAUCUCUUCCAGUUCAUGGAGCCCUUUCUGAGGAACGCUGAGCUAGGAGAACCGGUCCAGUUUCUGUAUAAAGGGACUCUCAGGGUUUUGUUGGUCCUCCUCCAUGAUUUUCCGGAGUUCCUCUGUGACUACCAUUUCAGCUUCUGUGAUGUUAUCCCUCCAAGCUGCAUACAGAUGCGAAAUAUAAUUUUAAGUGCAUUUCCUCGCAACAUGAGGCUUCCUGAUCCAUCAACUCCCAACUUAAAGAUUGAUCUACUAGCAGAGAUUAGUCAAUCCCCUCGCAUUCUUUCUGAAGUUGAUGCAGCUCUUAAAUCAAAGCAGAUGAAGGGUGAUGUAGAUGAAUACCUGAAGACAAGGCAACAGGGGUCCCCAUUUUUGAGUGAAUUAAAACAGAAGUUACUGCUUUCUCCAAGUGAAGCUGCCAAGGCUGGGACGCGCUACAAUGUACCCCUGAUCAACUCCCUUGUACUCUAUGUUGGAAUGCAGGCUAUCCAGCAGCUGCAGGCAAAAACUCCUCAUGCUCAGUCGAUGCCCAGUAGUGUUCCAUUUGCAGUAUUCUUGGUUGGUGCUGCUCUAGAUGUAUUCCAGACUUUGAUAAUGGACUUGGACACCGAGGGGCGUUACUUGUUUUUAAAUGCAGUCGCUAACCAAUUGCGAUACCCAAAUAAUCACACACAUUACUUCUCCUUUAUUCUGCUCUACCUAUUUGCGGAAUCAAACCAGGAGAUGAUCCAAGAACAGAUAACCAGGGUCCUAUUAGAACGCCUGAUUGUAAAUCGACCUCAUCCAUGGGGUCUUCUGAUCACAUUCAUUGAACUGAUAAAGAAUCCAAGGUACAAUUUUUGGAGUCGACCAUUUACAAGAUGUGCCCCAGAGAUCGAAAAGCUGUUUGAAUCAGUCUCAAGAUCUUGUGGUGGCCCUAAACCUGUGGAUGAGAACGUGGUGUCAGGUGGAAUACCUGAUAUCCAUUAGAUAAAUUUUGUUGCCUGGUAAUACUUCUAGAUUUUUGUAGUUUGCUGAAUCUCUUUUUUCUGACCUGUUCAUUGGUUGGCAUAAAUAAUUUGAGUGCUGUUGUACUGACAUAAUGUGAUGCUAUUGUUGGUGUCGAUGAAUAUGAUUCUGCCUUUUCAUUUAGCUAUAUGCUUUUGAGAAGGUUUUACUGGUUGGUUAUUCUCUGUUUUGUUAACUGGAGCAUGG
rnacentral:misc_RNA from 1 species